UGCCGGUGCCGCCCCUUUUGUGGCUCUCUGUGUCUGUGUGUCGUUGCUCCAGCGAGUUGAGGGUACGUUACAGAUGCGGCAUUGUUAUCGGCUUUUUACCGGUUCAAGGAACAUCACGACGGCGUCCUCGAGCGGCCCCACCAUGUCGCUGCGCGAGGCGACACGUCUCGCUAAGAUCGCUGGCUGCGUGGACUCCGCUAAGGGGUCGUCUUCGUCUUUGUUGCGUCGGUGCACCGAUCCCGCAUGCGCGCAGGAUCGAAAAGUCACCAGCUCUUCCGCCUCCUGGGAGGAAAUCAAGCGCCGGCAACAUCAGGUGUUCAACGAGCGGCACUUAACCGCCGAGAACGCCAUUGCUGUCACGGUGUCGUGUGUAAACAUGGCGCAUCUCUCCGUAUACGUGCACGCAGUGCAAUGCGGGUACCCGGCCUCUCACGCGCCAGGACCGUCUGGGGAGGGCGUGCCUGGCAAGCGCACUAUCGCCACUGCAACUUUGACGAAUCAAUCUUGCGCCGUGCUGCUCCUGUGGGUGUCGAUGGGGUCACCUGAGCUGUUGGCCGUGCGGUGCGCGCUGUCUCCCGGUGCUGUGGAAACGUGCUGGCGUGCGGCUCCAGCGGCGGAGAGCAGCGACACCACAAAGGCUGGCGGCACGAGCCAGACUGCUGCGCCAUCCUCGAUGCUGUCGGAGAAGGACAAGCUGCGCCGCAUAAAGGCGUGGGCCGAGGAGCUGACCCUUCACCGAUGGGUGGUGGCCAGCGGCCAGUUGCGCAUGGAGGACGUGUACGACGGCGAUUUGCAAAAGGUGGUGACAGUGCCGGUGCUGGAGGUGGCAAGGGACCAUUUUAAGGGUAGCGUGCGUGCACUGCCGCCAGGGUUUCUAUGAGCGUUGCCUCUGGUGUUGUUGGGUGUCUUUUUUUUCCCGAAGUGUACCGCGCGAAGCUGCCGCUUUCGCUGUGCCUGUGCUUGUGUACGCGCCUGGGCUGGUGUGCAUCUGUGAGCGCCAGCGGUGUGCCUGCCUUUAUCAGCUAGCGCUCGCUGCGCAUGAGUACUCAAAAAAUGCUUUUCUUUGUUGCUUCGGUAGUGACGAAGAAUUCUACUGGGGUCCAUGUCCCGGCAGCCACCCGCUGGCGAUUUGUUUCCCAUGGGUGUACCCAACCGAAAAAAAAAAGAAAAGCUAUACCCACGCAGGAUCGUGGGUGCAUUUUUGUGGACCUUUUUCGCGUCUCUGGUACACGUGCCACACCCUUUCCCGCCGGCGUGUUGUUUCUAUCGUCAUUCUUAUUGACUGGUUGUACGCAAGGCGAUUAGGCAUGGGCGAGGGCGUGUGCUGUACAUGCGCAGGUGUACGCUAUCUGCUCGCGCGCUCGCGGCCGAAAAGUACCUGUUUCUUUUUCAUUCAGCUUGCCCCCCCCCCCCAGUUUGUCUCCAUACCAUUCUUCAGUUUCCUCUAUCAGCUCACUUAAUUCUUCUCUCCUGCACUCUGUCUCGACGCAG
rnacentral:misc_RNA from 1 species